GACAGAGGAGGCGAGCGUUAUCCGGAGUUAUUGGGCGUAAGGGUACGUAGGCGGCUGGUCGAGUCUGGGGUUAAAGACCACAGCUUAACUGUGGGGGGGCCUUGGAAACUGACCGGCUGGAGUGGGGCAGGGGUUGCGGGAAUUCCCGGUGUAGCGGUGAAAUGCGUAGAUAUCGGGAAGAACACCUGAGGCGAAAGCGAGCAACUGGGCCCUAACUGACGCUGAGGUACGAAAGCUAGGGGAGCGAAGGGG
rnacentral:rRNA from 1 species